rnacentral:lncRNA from 1 species
AAACAUUUGAAGCACUUGUCUUCCUUUCUAUGGCAGAGAAAGCUCAGAAUCUCAAGGAAGAUGAGGAAGACAGCGAAGAGGACAGCAGUGGUGAGAGUGAGGGAGAAGGCAGCGAGGACUUAAGUGACGAGAGUUCUGAUGAGUGUGAAGAUGGAUCAUGAAGGUCACUGGGUGGCUUCAGCUUCGUGUAUUUUCAUUAUUGUAUACCAUGCACAUAUAAAGAGGGAGAGCUGCAUUUUUGUCUAUUGGUUCUUUCUUUGGUACAGAGAGUUCUUUUCAGUUAUCCGUAAUCUUAGUUGGAGCUCCUUCCUAAUAUUUAAGCCUUUAGUCAAUACGAAUUAGAAAAUAGUAUGUGCCAGGUACUGUGUGCUCUACACACAUUAUUAUUUAAUUGAACAACUCCAUGAACUUGACCCAUUCUACAGAUGAGAAAACUGAGAUGAAGAGAGUUGUAAGUAGCUCACCUAGCCUCUUGUGCACCUAUUAAUUUGUACAGCCUAGAUGUAGAUGUGGACAUUAUGACUCCAGAAGCUAUAUUUUCAGUCCCCCAUGAAGGACCACCACAUCAGGCACAUUUAUGUCAUUUGUUUGGUUCUUUAUGGCAUAUAUCAACAUCUGAAACACUUCAUUUUUUGUUCUUCUUAUCCUCUCCCUAACUGACAUACAAUGCAACGUCCAUGAAGCAAGACUUUUUCUUUUUCACUAUUGUAUUCCUAGAAACUGGAUAAAUGUCUG